rnacentral:rRNA from 1 species
AGAGUUUGAUCCUGGCUCAGGAUGAACGCUGGCGGCGUGCUUAACACAUGCAAGUCGAACGAAGCACUUUAAUUGAUUUCUUCGGAAUGAAGUUUUUGUGACUGAGUGGCGGACGGGUGAGUAACGCGUGGGUAACCUGCCUCAUACAGGGGGAUAACAGUUGGAAACGACUGCUAAUACCGCAUAAGCGCACAGGAUUGCAUGAUCCAGUGUGAAAAACUCCGGUGGUAUGAGAUGGACCCGCGUCUGAUUAGCCAGUUGGCGGGGUAACGGCCCACCAAAGCGACGAUCAGUAGCCGACCUGAGAGGGUGACCGGCCACAUUGGGACUGAGACACGGCCCAAACUCCUACGGGAGGCAGCAGUGGGGAAUAUUGCACAAUGGGGGAAACCCUGAUGCAGCGACGCCGCGUGAGCGAAGAAGUAUUUCGGUAUGUAAAGCUCUAUCAGCAGGGGAGAAGAAUGACGGUACCUGACUAAGAAGCACCGGCUAAAUUACGUGCCAGCAGCCGCGGU